AUUAAACGCUGGCGGCAUGCCUUACACAUGCAAGUCGAACGGCAGCGGGGACUUCGGUCCGCCGGCGAGUGGCGAACGGGUGAGUAAUGUAUCGGAACGUACCAUUCAGUGGGGGAUAACUAUCCGAAAGGAUAGCUAAUACCGCAUAUUCUGUGAGCAGGAAAGCAGGGGAUCGCAAGACCUCGCGCUGAUUGAGCGGCCGAUAUCAGAUUAGCUAGUUGGUGAGGUAACGGCUCACAAAGGCUACGAUCUGUAGCGGGUCUGAGAGGAUGAUCCGCCACACUGGGACUGAGACACGGCCCAGACUCCUACGGGAGGCAGCAGUGGGGAAUUUUGGACAAUGGGCGCAAGCCUGAUCCAGCCAUGCCGCGUGAGUGAAGAAGGCCUUCGGGUUGUAAAGCUCUUUCGGCCGGGAAGAAAUCGCAUCAGCUAAUACCUGGUGUGGAUGACGGUACCGGAAUAAGAAGCACCGGCUAACUACGUGCCAGCAGCCGCCGUAA
rnacentral:rRNA from 1 species